GGGUUUUACACAGCAAACCCGUGCAGUACUUAGACGACUUCUAACACACAAGUCGCUAAGUAAGCCUAAAACACUUCUCAAAUUAGUCAAGCAAGAACGCUUGCAGAAAAUGUUAGAGAGAAGUAGAGCAAUAUGGCCAAAAUAUAUUUUAUUACACACUAAAGAAUAAAUUACAAGAGAGUUAGAGAGCUUGUGUGUGUGUUGGAGUGUUUGUGUG
rnacentral:lncRNA from 1 species